GACAGAGGGUGCAAGCGUUGUUCGGAAUUACUGGGCGUAAAGGGCUCGUAGGCGGCCAACUAAGUCACACGUGAAAUCCCCAGGCUUAACCUGGGAACUGCGUGUGAUACUGGAUGGCUUGAAUUCGGGAGAGGGAUGCAGAAUUCCAGGUGUAGCGGUGAAAUGCGUAGAUAUCUGGAGGAAUACCGGUGGCGAAGGCGGCAUCCUGGACCGACAUUGACGCUGAGGAGCGAAAGCUAGGGGAGCAAACGGG
rnacentral:rRNA from 1 species